rnacentral:rRNA from 1 species
UAGAGUUUGAUCCUGGCUCAGGAUGAACGCUAGCGACAGGCCUAACACAUGCAAGUCGAGGGGCAUCGGGGCUAGGAGCAAUCCUUGCCGCCGGCGACCGGCGCACGGGUGAGUAACGCGUAUGCGACCUGCCCGUUGCAGGGGGAUAAUCGGGAGAAAUCCCGUCUAAUACCGCGUAAUGCCGCGGGGCUGCAUGGCCCUGCGGCCAAAGGGAGCGAUUCCGGCAACGGAUGGGCAUGCGUGACAUUAGCUAGUUGGCGGGGCAACGGCCCACCAAGGCGACGAUGUCUAGGGGUUCUGAGAGGAAGGUCCCCCACACUGGUACUGAGACACGGACCAGACUCCUACGGGAGGCAGCAGUGAGGAAUAUUGGUCAAUGGGCGCGAGCCUGAACCAGCCAAGUCGCGUGAGGGAUGACGGCCCUACGGGUUGUAAACCUCUUUUGUCGGGGAGCAAAUUCCGUUACGUGUAACGGAGUCGAGAGUACCCGAAGAAAAAGCAUCGGCUAACUCCGUGCCAGCAGCCGCGGUAAUACGGAGGAUGCGAGCGUUAUCCGGAUUUAUUGGGUUUAAAGGGUGCGUAGGCGGACUGUCAAGUCAGCGGUAAAAUACGGGGGCUCAACCUCCGCCCGCCGUUGAAACUGACGGUCUUGAGUGGGCGAGAAGUAUGCGGAAUGCGUGGUGUAGCGGUGAAAUGCAUAGAUAUCACGCAGAACUCCGAUUGCGAAGGCAGCAUACCGGCGCCCAACUGACGCUGAAGCACGAAAGCGUGGGUAUCGAACAGGAUUAGAUACCCUGGUAGUCCACGCAGUAAACGAUGAAUACUAGCUGUCCGGGGCGAAUGAGCCCUGGGUGGCACAGCGAAAGCGUUAAGUAUUCCACCUGGGGAGUACGCCGGCAACGGUGAAACUCAAAGGAAUUGACGGGGGCCCGCACAAGCGGAGGAACACGUGGUUUAAUUCGAUGAUACGCGAGGAACCUUACCCGGGCUCAAACGACACAGGAACGUACCUGAAAGGGUUCGGCUCUACGGAGCCUGUGUCGAGGUGCUGCAUGGUUGUCGUCAGCUCGUGCCGUGAGGUGUCGGCUUAAGUGCCAUAACGAGCGCAACCCCCAUCGACAGUUGCUAACAGGUCAGGCUGAGGACUCUGUCGAGACUGCCGGCGCAAGCUGCGAGGAAGGCGGGGAUGACGUCAAAUCAGCACGGCCCUUACGUCCGGGGCGACACACGUGUUACAAUGGCAGGUACAGCGGGAAGCCACCUGGCGACAGGGAGCGGAACCCGAAAGCCUGUCUCAGUUCGGAUUGGAGUCUGCAACCCGACUCCAUGAAGCUGGAUUCGCUAGUAAUCGCGCAUCAGCCACGGCGCGGUGAAUACGUUCCCGGGCCUUGUACACACCGCCCGUCAAGCCAUGGAAGCCGGGGGUGCCUGAAGUGCGCUGCCGCGAGGAGCGCCCUAGGGUAAAACCGGUGACUGGGGCUAAGUCGUAACAAGGUAACCGUA